rnacentral:rRNA from 1 species
UACGUAGGGUGCGAGCGUUAAUCGGAAUUACUGGGCGUAAAGCGUGCGCAGGCGGUUUUGUAAGUCUGUCGUGAAAUCCCCGGGCUCAACCUGGGAAUGGCGAUGGAGACUGCAAGGCUAGAGUUUGGCAGAGGGGGGUAGAAUUCCACGUGUAGCAGUGAAAUGCGUAGAGAUGUGGAGGAACACCGAUGGCGAAGGCAGCCCCCUGGGUCAAAACUGACGCUCAUGCACGAAAGCGUGGGGAGCAAACAGG